rnacentral:misc_RNA from 1 species
GAUGAAGAACGUAGCGAAAUGCGAUAAGUAGUGUGAAUUGCAGAAUUCAGUGAAUCAUCGAAUCUUUGAACGCACAUUGCGCCCCCUGGCAUUCCGGGGGGCAUGCCUGUUCGAGCGUCUCCAGGACGAAUCCUCGCGCGAGUGAACGCGCGGUCGUGGCGGAGGUGGCGUGCCCGAGCAGGGCGGCCACCGCGCUGGAAUCCAUGGGCGGACGCCUGCCGCGUGGCCGAGCGUGAUAUGACGCAUUGGCGCUCGUGCGCGGCGAGGCUGACAGCCCUGGCCCGUCUGUCGGGCGGGGUAGAUCAACACGUGGGAACUCCUCGAAUCAGGUAGGGAUACCCGCUGAACUUAAGCAUAUCAAUAAGCGGAGGA